GCCUUCGUAGUGUAGUGGUCAGCACGUUCGACGCCUAUUCGAGAGGUCCGCGGUUCGAGUCCCAGCGAACGCA
rnacentral:tRNA from 1 species